UGUUUGUCUAUGUUGUUCCCCGUUUUCACUUUUCAUUUCUCAGAAUUUUAAAGAACAGUGUCAAAUUGUUGAGCAAUUUUAAAACUGUAAAUAGAACGAAAAGGAAGAGAGAGGCUUCAGUCACAGGCCAAAAACUUAGCACAGCUGAAUUCAAUCACUGUCUUACUUGUUUCAUAGGAAUUACUACUCAAGGGACAAUCAGAAAGGGUCAAGGAAAGCUAUUUUUUUCUUCCCACGAUUUGAAAAUACAUCUUCUUUCGUAUGAAGAAAAGGAUGUGGCAAUGGACAUGCAGAGCACAGUAAUUGGGCAUUGUUGGACUGAUAGGAAUCUGUAAAACAUUUUUGUCCUUGAUGAAAUAUGUAAUUUGCCUAUAGCCUGAUUUCCUUAAGACUUUUGCCUAUUGACUCAUCUUUGACAACCAGCCAAAAGGAACUUCAAGACAAAUACAAAGAGUCACUGUCAGCUUUUUCCACACUCUUCGGAAAGCCUUUCUGGGUAAAAAGCUUUUCUUGAUUUUGUUUAGCUAAAAAUCCCAGCUAAAAUCCGUAGAAAAAUGUAUGGAAUGGAAAAUUUUGAGGUUUUGGGUUAUAAGUUUUUUGAAACCCAUUACAUCUUUCUAAGUUUAUAAUUUCUGCUAGACCUACCCUUUCUGUACUUCCUUUUCCCUCCCACUGGAUUCCAAGAAUCUUUUCUUUCUUUUCUACUUCUCAAAUAACAAACUGUGGAAGCCCGGCCACUUACCUGGAAGAUCCUUCUGAACAGAAAAUAUGUUUAAUUUUAAUUUAUUUUAUUUUAUUUUUUGAUACAGGGUCUUGCUUUGUCACCCAGGCUGGAUUGCAGUGACACACUCACAGCUCACUGCAGCCUGGACCUCCUGGGCUCAAGUGAUUCUUCUACCUCAACCUCCCUAGUACCUGAGACUACAGGGUUGCACCACCAUGGCCAGCUAAUUUUUGUAUUUUUUGUAAAGACAGGGUUAUGCCGUGUUGCCCAGGAUGGUCACGAACUCUUGAGCUGAAGCAAUCCACCUGCCUCAGCCUUCUCUAAGUGUUGGGAUUAAAACAGUGAGCUGCCAUGCCCAUCCUGACAUGGUCUUUAAAAAUAGUUAAAAUACUUUUAAAAUCUUUCUCUCUUCUAGAGUCUCUAAGGAGAUCCUUAAAGCAUAUUUAUUGGCUAUCUGACUGCACUCCUAAAUAAAGGUCAAUAUCAGUGAGAAAAUAAAUGAAUG
rnacentral:lncRNA from 13 species